AAAAAAACCAGCUGGAAAGAAAGAAGAACAAUGGAAGCUCUGUUAUCUUCCACUACUCUUCAACUCAAACCCCUUCAUCCACCCUCUUCUUUCUCUUCUCUUCACUCUCCAUUUUCUUCUAUUUCUGUUCUUAGAGUAAAGGGUAGCAAAAAAGCUGAAACUUUUAUUCAAAGAAGCAAUUUUUCCACUGUUUUGCCACUUAGAGUCUCUGCUAGUUCUCAAGCAGCAGCUGCUGAAACAUCCACAAGCAUUUCUAUUCCUUCUGAAAUGAAAGCUUGGAGUUAUACUGAUUAUGGAAGUGUUGAUGUUUUGAAGUUGGAGUCCAAUGUUGCAGUUCCUGACAUUAAGGAAGAUCAAGUCUUGAUUAAGAUUGUUGCUGCUGCUCUUAACCCUGUUGAUUUUAAACGACGGCUCGGAAAAUUUAAGGCCACUGAUUCUCCACUUCCAACUGUGCCAGGUUAUGAUGUUGCUGGUGUGGUAGUGAAAGUUGGUAGUCAGGUAAAGGGAUUAAAAGAAGGGGAUGAAGUAUAUGGAGAUAUACAUGAGAAAGCAUUAGAUGGACCAAAGCAAUUUGGAUCCUUAGCUGAGUACACUGCUGUUGAAGAGAAACUAGUUGCUUUGAAACCCAAGAAUCUUAGUUUUGCGGAGGCUGCUGCUCUUCCUCUAGCUAUUGAGACUGCUUAUGAAGGUCUUGAGAAAGCUGGAUUUUCUUCUGGCAAAUCCAUUCUUGUUUUGGGAGGUGCUGGCGGUGUUGGAUCCCUAGUAAUCCAGCUUGCUAAACAUGUAUUUGGUGCUUCUAAAGUAGCAGCUACCUCUAGCACAGGGAAGU
rnacentral:misc_RNA from 1 species